GACGAACGCUGGCGGCGUGCUUAACACAUGCAAGUCGAACGGAAAGGCCCUGCUUUUGUGGGGUGCUCGAGUGGCGAACGGGUGAGUAACACGUGAGUAACCUGCCCUUGACUUUGGGAUAACUUCAGGAAACUGGGGAUAAUACCGGAUAGGAGCUCCUGCUGCAGGGUGGGGGUUGGAAAGUUUCGGCGGUUGGGGAUGGACUCGCGGCUUAUCAGCUUGUUGGUGGGGUAGUGGCUUACCAAGGCGUUGACGGGUAGCCGGCCUGAGAGGGUGACCGGCCACAUUGGGACUGAGAUACGGCCCAGACUCCUACGGGAGGCAGCAGUGGGGAAUAUUGCACAAUGGGCGGAAGCCUGAUGCAGCGACGCCGCGUGCGGGAUGACGGCCUUCGGGUUGUAAACCGCUUUCGCCUGUGACGAAGCGUGAGUGACGGUAAUGGGUAAGGAAGCACCGGCUAACUACGUG
rnacentral:rRNA from 1 species